AGACCCGAAACCCGGUGAUCUAGCCAUGGGCAGGUUGAAGGUUGGGUAACACUAACUGGAGGACCGAACCGACUAAUGUUGAAAAAUUAGCGGAUGACCUGUGGCUGGGGGUGAAAGGCCAAUCAAACCGGGAGAUAGCUGGUUCUCCCCGAAAGCUAUUUAGGUAGCGCCUCGUGAAUUCAUCUCCGGGGGUAGAGCACUGUUUCGGCUAGGGGGCCAUCCCGGCUUACCAACCCGAUGCAAACUGCGAAUACCGGAGAAUGUUAUCACGGGAGACACACGGCGGGUGCUAACGUCCGUCGUGAAGAGGGAAACAACCCAGACCGCCAGCUAAGGUCCCAAAGUCAUGGUUAAGUGGGAAACGAUGUGGGAAGGCCCAGACAGCCAGGAUGUUGGCUUAGAAGCAGCCAUCAUUUAAAGAAAGCGUAAUAGCUCACUGGUCGAGUCGGCCUGCGCGGAAGAUGUAACGGGGCUAAACCAUGCACCGAAGCUGCGGCAGCGAACGUAUCACCCAAGACAACUUUACGGAGUUGACGAUUGACGGAGCGAAGCGACGUCAAAGCGUUCAUUAAAGUCGAGUUGGCUUAGGGAUACGUUCGUUGGGUAGGGGAGCGUUCUGUAAGCCUGUGAAGGUGUGUCGUGAGGCAUGCUGGAGGUAUCAGAAGUGCGAAUGCUGACAUAAGUAACGAUAAAGCGGGUGAAAAGCCCGCUCGCCGGAAGACCAAGGGUUCCUGUCCAACGUUAAUCGGGGCAGGGUGAGUCGACCCCUAAGGCGAGGCCGAAAGGCGUAGUCGAUGGGAAACGGGUUAAUAUUCCCGUACUUGGUGUUACUGCGAAGGGGGGACGGAGAAGGCUAUGUUGGCCGGGCGACGGUUGUCCCGGUUUAAGCGUGUAGGUGUGUGUUCCAGGUAAAUCCGGUUCACUUUAACACUGAGGCGUGACGACGAGGCACUACGGUGCUGAAGCAACAAAUGCCCUGCUUCCAGGAAAAGCCUCUAAGCAUCAGGUAACACGAAAUCGUACCCCAAACCGACACAGGUGGUCAGGUAGAGAAUACCAAGGCGCUUGAGAGAACUCGGGUGAAGGAACUAGGCAA
rnacentral:rRNA from 1 species